CAGUCGCCGCGGUAAUACAGAGGGUGCAAGCGUUAAUCGGAUCUACUGGGCGUAAAGGGCGCGUAGGUGGUUAUUUAAGUGAGAUGUGAAGGCCCCGGGCUUAACCUGGGAACUGCAUCUUAUACUGGGUAACUGGAGUGCAGUAGAGGGUAGUGGAAUUUCCGGUGUAGCGGUGAAAUGCGUAGAGAUCGGGAGGAACAUCAGUGGCGAAAGCACUCUGCUGGGCCGACACUGACACUGAGAGACGAAAGCUAGGGGAGCAAAUGGGAUUAGAUACCCCUGUAGUCCCUGUCUCUUAUAC
rnacentral:rRNA from 1 species